GCGGGCAGACCGGAGCCAGCAAGAUGGCGGCGCAGGCUGUAUCACUCCUGCGGGAGGUGGCGCGGCUGGAGGCGCCGCUGGAGGAGCUGCGUGCGCUGCAGUCCGUGGUGCAGGCUGUGCCGCUCCACGAGCUUCGCGAGCAGGCGGCGGAGCUACGCCUUCGCCCGCUGUUCUCCUUGCUUAACCAGAACAAUCGGGAACAGACUGCUCUGUGUGUAUCCAUUCUGGAGAGGUUGCUCCAGGCAGUGGAACCAAUUCAUUUGGCCAGGAACCUCAGGCUUGACCUGCAGAGGGGACUGACUCACCCUGAUGACUCUGUAAAAACCCUCACCCUCUCCCAGGUAUGGAAUCAUA
rnacentral:lncRNA from 1 species